rnacentral:rRNA from 1 species
CCUAUGGGGUGCAGCAGGCGCGAAAACUUUACAAUGCGGGCAACCGUGAUAAGGGAACCUCGAGUGCCUGUAUAUGCAGGCUGUCCAGGUGUCUAAAGAACACCUGAAGAAAGGGCCGGGCAAGACCGGUGCCAGCCGCCGCGGUAAUACCGGCGGCUCGAGUGGUGGCCACUUUUAUUGGGCUUAAAGCGUUCGUAGCUGGGUUAUUAAGUCUCUUGGGAAAUCCGACGGCUCAACUGUCGGGCGUCUAAGAGAUACUGGUAAUCUUGGAACCGGGAGAGGUGAGGGGUACUUCGGGGGUAGGAGUGAAAUCCUGUAAUCCUCGAGGGACCACCUGUGGCGAAGGCGCCUCACCAGAACGGCUUCGACAGUGAGGGACGAAAGCUGGGGGAGCAAACCGGAUUAGAUACCCGCGUAGUCC